UACGUAGGGUGCAAGCGUUGUCCGGAAUUAUUGGGCGUAAAGAGCUCGUAGGCGGUUUGUCGCGUCUGCUGUGAAAACGCGAGGCUCAACCUCGCGCCUGCAGUGGGUACGGGCAGACUAGAGUGCGGUAGGGGAGAUUGGAAUUCCUGGUGUAGCGGUGGAAUGCGCAGAUAUCAGGAGGAACACCGGUGGCGAAGGCGGCUCUCUGGGACGGUACUGACGCUGAGACGCGAAAGCGUGGGGAGCGAACAGG
rnacentral:rRNA from 1 species